UCAGAACGAACGCUGGCGGCAGGCCUAACACAUGCAAGUCGAGCGAGAAGGUUCUUUCGGGAACUGGAGAGCGGCGGACGGGUUAGUAACGCGUGGGAACGUGCCCUAAAGUCUGGGAUAACUAUUAGAAAUGAUAGCUAAUACCGGAUGGUCCCUUCGGGGUAAAGCUUUAGCGCUUUAGGAUCGGCCCGCGUUAGAUUAGGUAGUUGGUGAGGUAAUGGCUCACCAAGCCUACGAUCUAUAGCUGGUUUGAGAGGAUGAUCAGCAACACUGGAACUGAGACACGGUCCAGACUCCUACGGGAGGCAGCAGUGGGGAAUAUUGCGCAAUGGAGGAAACUCUGACGCAGCCAUGCCGCGUGAGUGAAGAAGGCCUUAGGGUCGUAAAACUCUUUCAACGGUGAAGAUGAUGACGGUAACCGUAGAAGAAGCACCGGCUAAMUU
rnacentral:rRNA from 1 species